rnacentral:misc_RNA from 1 species
GAUGAAGAACGCAGCGAAAUGCGAUAAGUAAUGUGAAUUGCAGAAUUCAGUGAAUCAUCGAAUCUUUGAACGCACAUUGAGCCCUCUGGUAUUCCGGGGGGCAUGCCUGUUCGAGCGUCAUUAUAACCACUCAAGCUCUCGCUUGGUAUUGGAGUUCGCGAUCUCGCGGCUCCUAAAAUCAGUGGCGGUGCCUGUCGGCUCUACGCGUAGUAAUACUCCUCGCGAUUGAGUCCGGUAGGUUUACUUGCCAGCAACCCCCAAUUUUUACAGGUUGACCUCGGAUCAGGUAGGGAUACCCGCUGAACUUAAGCAUAUCAAUAAGCGGAGGA